GACAGAGCGGCCAUCUUAGGUCAGACCAAGCUGCGAUCAGAGAGAAUACACGCAGUUAGCAAACUUCCAGAGCUACGUCCAAGAUGCCCGACUUUUGCUCCGCCUAUGGGUGCGCAAACAAAAGGACACUGCAAACCAGAUCCCGGGGAAUUACCUUCCAUAAGUUUCCCAAAGACAGUACACUGAGAAAAAAGUGGGAGCUGGCCGUGCGACGGGUGGAUUUUGUUGCAACGGAUCGAUCCAUGUUGUGCAGUGAGCACUUCAAGGAAGAAGACUUCGACCGCACAGGACAGAUUGUGCGCCUUAGAGUGAAUGAUGUCAUACCAUCUAUAUUCAAUUUUCCAACUCCUCUCCGAAAACAAAAAGUAAAGAGGACAACACUUACUGAAACGAAAGCAGAGGAGAGUCUGCCUAUGGACUUGAGUCAGCCUUCAAAAAAAAAUGAACCUCAGAAAAAAUUAAUACUCGACCACAACUAUGCAUUGCCGACUUCCCCCACUGCUAUGAAGGCAAAGCUCAGUGAGGCCUGGGCAAGAGUGCAAAGCCUCGAGCGGGAGAAGCGGAACGCCGAGAUCCGAGAGCUGAGGGCUAAGAAAAAUAUGGGUUCACUUCUGGAGGAUCUGAGGGAGAAGGAACUUAUCAAUGAAAAUCUUAGAGAAGAACUGGAAUGUUACUCAAGUAAAUUGUUAAUACUAUAUGGAAAUAUUGUAUACCUUUAUGCUUUAUUCCAGGCAUGUAAAACACAAACAUAAUGGCCCUAAAUUACUGGACAGACAUGAUUUAUGGGAAAAGAAUAAUAUAGAGUAUUUUUCUUUUGCUAUGAUUUUUGUGAUCUCUUUGAUUCUAAGAUGCAUUAUUUAGCUUUUUGUUAAUUCUCCCCCCCCCCCACCCACCCCUUCACGUUGCGGUUUAUAGUAUAUAAUUUUUAAAUGGUGUUAUUGGCACCUCUGCUCUCGUUUGUCUGUAUAUAGUUUUCUCCUAUGUCAGUGCUGUUGUCAUCACAUACUAUUAAAAAUGGCUUAUGGUCACUGAUGAGUAUCUGUUUUUUGUACAGUUGAAAGUGUCAUUUGUAAAUGUAUUUACACACGAAGUAGGAAGCUAUCCUGUUGGAUCCGAUUUUUUAUAAAAGGGAUUGUGAUGAAUAGUCUA